rnacentral:rRNA from 1 species
UACGGGGGGAGCAAGCGUUGUUCGGAUUUACUGGGCGUAAAGCGCGUGUAGGCGGCCCUGCAAGUCGGAUGUGAAAUCCCACGGCUCAACCGUGGAAGUGCAUUCGAAACUGCAGGGCUAGAGUCCUGGAGAGGAAGGUGGAAUGCUUGGUGUAGAGGUGAAAUUCGUAGAUAUCAAGCGGAACACCGGUGGCGAAGGCGGCCUUCUGGACAGUGACUGACGCUGAGACGCGAAAGCGUGGGGAGCAAACAGGG